rnacentral:lncRNA from 1 species
CACACCCCGUCCCAAAGGAGGGCAUGCUGGCCAUCACGUGAGAGUGACGUAACCAUUUACACAGUUCGGAAGCUUUAAAGAAUACAAUUACUAAGAUGAAACACCCGAGGGUGAGUCAUACUUUUAUUAAUUCUGUCAGAACACCGUUGGAUUCCUCGUGGCCACCAAAGCUCUGUUAUCUUAAACCUGGAGGGGCGCAAAACAAAAUUGAGUGGGUCAGUAAAACAAACUUUUCAAAACUUUCUUUUCUCUUUGAAUAUACUAACCCCUCACCGUAAAACAAGUAUAGUUUCCCAGAAGUAAAGUAUAUAAUCAUAUACGUAAUAUAUAUCAAAUCAUGCGGAACAAUAUGAUUGUAUGCCAUGCCAAACAUCAUAACUGAAUGCUCAUCAUCUAUAUGUACAUAUGAUGGAGUAACAUAUACGUAAUAUAUCUCAAAUUCAUGCUAGGCAAUAUGAAUGUAUGUCAUGCCAAAGUAUCAUAACUGAAUGCUCAUCAUCUCUAUGUACAUAUGAUAGAAUAACAUUUAAUCAAUUCAGCGCUCGGCUAUAAACAUAGUUCAUACUAUUUCAUCAUAAUCAACUCAACACUCGGCUGCAUAUAUAGUUCAUAGCUAACUCAUCAUAAUCAACUCAUUCGUAAUUAUCUCAUCAUAAUCAACUCAUUCGUAAUUAUCUCAUCAUAAUCAACUCAGCCCUUGGUUGUAUAUAUAGCUCAUAAUCAUCUCAUCUCAAUCAACUCAGCCCUCGGCUGUAUAUAUAGCUCAUAAUCAUCUCAUCUCAAUCAACUCAGCCCUCGGCUGUAUAUAUAUAUAUAUAUAUGUUUAACCUGCACACAUUCAAUACCACCUCACGUGGUCUACAAUUCAUCAUCGUAUAUAUCAUAGUAUGCUCUAGUGCUACAAUCACGUGAAGACUGUGCGAUAAAUCGCGGGUCACCUACGAGUCGAAUCCACAUAAGUGGUCUAUACGACAAGACUGUGCACCUAACUUGGAUCCAAGGCGAGCAUGCGGUGCGAGAGGUGAACAUCACGUGAAAGACUGUGCCUCUAUCUCUAGGCGGGAGCACUAAUAUACGUGUGCAAGUAAAUGAGCUUUCAAUCACAUCUCAAUCAUAUGAUUCAUCAUAUCUCAACUAUAUCUCAUGAUCGUUAUCAGCAUAAUAUCUCAAUAAUUGUGUCUCAAUUCUAUUUCAAUCACAUUUCAAUUAUAUCUCAAACAUAUCAUAAACAUAUCUCGAUCAUGUCACAAUUUCAUCUCAAUUAUAUCUCAUUCAUACUUCAAUCAUACCUCAAUCGUAUAAUUCAUCAUGUUUCAAUAGUAUUUCCCUCGUAUUUCAAACGUAUUUCAAUCGUAUAUCGAACGUAUUUCAAAUGUAUCUCAUACAUAUAUCAAAUGUAUUUCGUACGUAUCUCAAAUGUAUUUCAAUAGUAUUUCGUACGUAUAUCAAAUGUAUAUUAUACGUAUUUCAAAUGUAUUUCAUACGUAUAUCAAUCGUAUAUUAUACGUAUUUCAAAUGUAUAUCAAUCGUAUUUCAAACGUAUAUACUUACGUAUUUCAAAUGUAUUUUAUACGUAUAUCAAUCAUAUAUUAUACGUAUUUCAAAUGUAUAUCAAUCGUAUUUCAAACGUAUAUACUUACAUAUUUCAAAUGUAUUUUAUACGUAUAUCAAUCGUAUUUCAUACGUAUUUCAAAUGUAUUUCAUACGUAUAUCAUAUGUAUAUUAUACGUAUUUCAAAUGUAUAUCAAAUGAAUUUCAUAUGUAUAUCAAAUGUAUCUAAUACGUAUGUCAAUUGUAUUUCAAAUGUAUUUCAAAUAUAUAUCAAAUGUAUCUUAAUCGUAUUUCCAUAGUAUUUCAUUUGUAUUUCAAUCGUAUUUCAUGAUCGUUUUCAACAUAAUAUCUCACAUAUAACUUACCUGGGCCUCCUCAGUACCAUGCAACAAUAUGUACAAUUAUGGUAAUGCACAUAUUAAAAUAUGAUGCAUAUAUGACAAGCUAUUUAAUUCGUAUUUCUUUUUAAAAUACGUUUUCUAGGAAAUACGUCAAGUAUACGUAUAUAUAUACUUAAAAAAAUAUAACUGCCCACUCACUGAUAAGUAGCCGAUUCGUAACCCCCUCGUCUAUUUUGGUUACGUUCUUCGUCCGUAUAAUUUUCACCUAUACAAAAAUAAUUAUAACAUCAUUUAAACGCACAUACACAAACAUUCGUCAAUAACUUUCUCAUACGUUGCUCAAUUUGGGUAUGUGAAUAUACCACGGUGAUCUACACGACGUCACGAACACGUGAAAAUUUUCAGAACGGAAUUUGAAGCUUCCACGCACCCUCACGCGUCAGAGGAAGGUCGGACCUACGCGCCCCCACGCGCGUCUUCUUCCUCGGCUCGCCGGACUGGUUCGCCGGUUUCUGGGCAGUUUUGCCGGAAUUUCUGGGUAAACUUCAAAGUGUCAUAACUUCUUCAUUUCUUGGCCAUUUUCGACGUACUUUAUAUCAAAAUGAAGAUAUUGACAAGACGAACACAUAUAUACCUGUCUCGAUCCUUAACUCGCCGGGAAUUCACCGGAAAAAGCCUCGAAAGCCGUCGGACUCGCCGGAAACUGGGUAAGAUUCAAAUGAGUAUAACUUCUUUAAUAAUCAACGAAAUUGGGUGAAACAAAAACUAAAGUUGUAGUUCUCGAAGAGACGAAGAGAAUGGUACCUCGCACGACAUCUAACUCUCCGUUUUUUGGCCGGAAAACGCCUCGAAAGUUCCGGCCAAACUUUGAACUUUCCGAUCUCUGUGUUUUUACGUCCAAACACUUCCAACGAACUACUCCAAACCUCCUAAGGACCUCCUUAAGCUCCCUAUGAGCUUAAAAACUCCUAAAAAUUAACCAAUACAAAGUUGAUGAAUAGUACCCAAAUCGGAGUUCGUAUUUUCGACUUGAAAACGUUAUAGUUCUUAUCUGAAAUUGGUAUGGUUGGACUCGUAGCGUCGAAACGAAGAAGAUGGUGAUUUUACUUUCGUCGAUCUGUGAAGUUUUCGAAAAACUUGUGUUUUGCCGUGUGUGUGUGUUGAGGGAGAGGGAGAGAGAAUGAGGCUUGACGGAAGAGAGAAUGAGAGUUGAGUGUAUCAGGUCUUCAAGGAGAAAGAGAGUGUGAGAGACAGAGU